rnacentral:lncRNA from 1 species
UUUAGAAUUUGAUCAAGUUUGAACAUGAUUGUGAUUUGACUCUAGUUUUAUAUGCUAGAGAAUCGAAUAUUUUGGGAAUUGGGAUGUUCGUGAAAAUUGAACUUGAGUUUAGUUUAACGACAUUUCGGUCGAUUGAUUUAGGUUUAGUUUAACGACGUUUCGAUCGGUUGAUUUGGUGGAGUAGUUUAACGACGUUUCGGUCAAAGGUUUGGGUUUGGUUCACAAGGUUUAUGGUAUUGGGUAUAUGGGAUUAUGGUUCAUGAACUUAGAUAUGGGUUUAUGGUUCAUGAACUUAUGGUUUAUGGGUUUAUGGUUCAUGGGUUUAUGGUUCAUGGACUUAUGGUUCAUGGACUUAUGGUUCAUGGGUUUGGUUCAUGGACUUAUAGUUCAUGGACUUAUGGUUCAUGGACUUAUGGUUCAUGGGUUUGGUGUAUGGUUUGUGGUUUAUGAUCCCUGGCUCAUGAACUUGAUUUGAUUCAUGAACUUGAUUCAUAGUUCGUGAAUUUGGUGUAUGGUAUGGUCCACAGGAUUUGGUGUAUGGUUUGGUCCAUGGUUUUGGUUUAAAGUUCAUGGACUUGGUUAAGGUUAUGGUCUUGGAAAUGGAUUAAAUGUGUAUGGGUUCAUGGGUAAAUGUAUAUAGGUUUAUGUAUAUGGGUUUAUGGGUUUUGGAUAAUGGGCUUAGAUAGUGGGCCCAAAUGGGUUUUGGACUGGGGCCAUUUGUAAAUGGGCUCUGGGCUUUGGACUAGGCCUAGAUUUAAUUGGAUUGGGUUAUAGGUUAUGGGUUUAGAAUUGGGCUAAGGUUUAAUUGGAUUAGGUUAUAGGAUUGGGUUAUAGGUAACGGUUAAUGGAUUUUGAGUGAGGUUAAGGUUAAUGGGUUUAGAUUAGAUUGGGUUAAAUGGGUUUAGAGUCAAAGUGUUGAUUUAAUACGGAUGGGUUGAGGUUCAAUGACUUAGGUCCAUAUGAUCGGGCCUAGAUUCAUGUCUCGAGGUUUUAUUAAAAAAAAAUGUUUUGAUCAAUUAAGAUUUUCAUAUACAUUUUCUUCAAAUUCUGGAUUUGAAUAACAAAUUAAAUUUCAAUUUAAUUUGAAGUGUCUAAUGUGAUUUUGUCAAAGCUCUCUCUCUCUUUUAGAGUGAUCUCUCUUUUUGGUGAUAUUUUGCAAAGAGCACCAUCGAUGUUCAUCUCGGCAUUCCAUCGAGCGGUUUGAUUAGCACGUCGACGACGAAGUAUUUCGUCGAAUGAUUGGUCGGUAAAUGAGAGCAUCGCUCUCUUUAUGAUUCGCCACCGAGCAAUUAGCGGGCGAACUUUGU